AUGGAUGUUUCUUUAGCCAAUUUCGUCUUUAUUAACUCCACCGUUAGGUCUGCUUUUGUAUCAACAAGACCUAGAGUAAUAAAAGAAGUCAUCCCCAACUCCUACUCAGUAGGCACGAUCCAAGGAUGCACAACCUGUAAAAAAUGGAAAUGAGGCAUUUAAAUCAUAUAAUAAUAAUUUGCAGUCAGUUGGUUACAUGUUAUUACAGCCAACUUAUGCAACAGAUGAUAUAGCUACUGUAAUAGCUGAUUUGUUUGUCAUAACAGAUUAACAAUAUGUUGCACCAGAUUACCCAUCUGUUGCAUAAUUUGUAGUAGAUGGGUAAUCUGCUAAGUCGAGUUCAGAGAACCAGAGCAACAGAUAGUUAAUCUAUUACGAAAUAUGGAUCGUUUAUCGUAACAGAUUACUCAUCUAUUGCACCAGUUGAAGUUGACGGGUAAUUUAUCGCAAGAGAUGGCACAUCUGUUCAGUAUCUUUCUUUGAGACAAAUUAUUUUAGUUGAAAGAAAGAAGGUGUACUGCAUCAUCUGGAAGGUUAAAGAGAUCAGCCUCCUUAAUAUUUUUUUUAUUGCUUUUUGCAGCCAACCACCUAAGGAUCCUUGGAUGAGAAACCUCAUCCGAGUAAUCCUUGAACUGCUUUGGAGAGGACAAAUGGCUUCACAUGCCCAAACCUAAAAAAUGUAAACAGGAAGCAAGCAAAAAAAAGUCAUAAUAACUAUAUCCAAUAUAAAUUAAUGGAUGAGUAAAAAUAGUGAUCAAUUUUACCAUGAAAUCCCAAGAAAAGCCGUAUAAUGUGAUGGUACUUGUGGAUAGCUUUGUUAGUAAAUAUUGGACAAUCAAGUAGUAGUUGUCCGAUCCUAGGAUAAUCAUUAUAUUUCUCAAAAUCAUCAGGAAGCGCCAACAAAUCAUCUUCUAUGACUUUCCUGACGUCUCUUGCCAAUAUAGAGGAAUGGAUAAAUCAAACCAAGCAUAAUUUCGUCUGGUAGUACUUUGGUAUGUUUUUAUCCUUGAGAUCUGCCAUUAAAUCCUCUGCUUUGUAGCUGCGUCCAACAUAGACAACAACCCAUCUUUUUUUCCUUGCAUUUAUUGGAAUCUUUGUGGGGUGUUUCCUUGAUGAGAUGUUUUUCUAGACAAUCGCAUCUCAAGCAUAUCACUAUGGGAAACUCUUUCAAUCAAAAAUAAAUCGGCAUGCUGCAGUAGCUGAUCCAGAUUUCAUCCAUCUUUUUUUCACCCUCCUUCAAAUCUUUAUAAUCCCCCACAUACUUAAUCCAGCUCUUGAGAAGACCAUAUACCAUGCUCAUUGGGAAACGGAGUGCGGUCCUCAGGCAGCUCAAGAAUGUAUGCAAAGCAACUCUUCUUAAAAAGCCCAUCUAUGAUUUCAUUCUUUAUAAUAGUCCUAAGUUCGUCAAAUAUUUCCCCAACUGACAUUUAAGUACAAGAUCACCAGUUACUUCUUAGGGAUAUUCAUCGCCAUCGCAACUUGAAACCUGUCGAUACUAAUGGUUUUGGAAGAAUCAUGCUAGGAUUUUGAUAUUAUUUCACACCCUAUUGGUGAGAAGGAGUUAUCACUUUCCUCAGCUUUAUUUUGCCCUGACGGAGAUUUUUCAAGAAGUUCCUUCGAAUCUAUCUGUACUCUAGCCUUUUUUGUUGGGUGGUCAGAAGUUGAUCCACUUUCAAUUUUUUUUUCUUUUGGGAGACAUCUUUUAACUACAAAUAAUAGAAAAACAAAAAAAUACAUUGUAUUUGAUGUCUGAAUAAUUUUUUUAAAAAGGUAAGAUAAAUUUUAAUAAACUAUUCUACUCCACAUUACAAAAAAAAAUUCCAACGGAUAACCCAUCAGUUGAAAUCAAUGCGGAAUCUGUUUGAAGACCUAUUUGAUAUCUCUCAAUUGAUCUUCCACCUGUUGUAAUAGAUGGACAAAUUUUAAUAAAUUAUUCUACGCCACAUUACAAAAAAAUAUUCCUACGAAUAACUCAUCAGUUGGAACAGAUGAGGAAUCUGUUUGAAGACCUAUUUAAUAUCUCCCAACAGAUCUUCCACCUGUUGCAACAGGUGGACCACCAACACCACAACCAAUGUCACCACCAAUUCCACCAAGUGACCAAGACCACUACCAAUGCCACUAAUACCAACACCAAUCUACCUACACCCCCACCAAAAACACAAAUACUGACACCACCAACAGUAACCACUAACAACACCACAAACACCAUCCAACAAUACCACGAUAUUCAAUAAAACAUUGAGAGAAAACUAGGGUUUUCUCGGUUGCUUCCUACUUUUUUAGCAUCAAAACUCAAAAUCUUAACCCAUUAUCGAAGAUAAUACAACUAAAAGUCUUCUUUUUUAUCAUUAACUAAACAACCCUAAAUUUUAGAAUAAAGAAUAAAUGUAGAACUUUUUUCAAACUCUGUUACCUAUGAAGACAAAGAAAACGAUGGAUACAACCAAGAAUAAAGUCGAAAAUAACAACUAUGGGGUCAAAAAUGGGAAGAAAAUCGAUCUAUUUUGAAGGUUGAGCAAUAUGUUGAGUAGUUAUUGUCUGUUUUAUUGAGAGAGAGAGAUGGGGGGGAGAGUGAGAACUUCAAAUUUAAAAUGAGGAAAAGUUUUUCACACAAAUAGAUGAUUUGUAUGAGUUGAUUUGUAAUUUUGAAAAAGAAUGAUAAGUUUUAAAAUUGUUAAUUUGGUCUGAAUUGAUCUUAAUUAAAUUUUAAAAUUUUAAAAGAUAUAGUUUUUAAAAUAUUAAGUUAAUGAGAACUCAUUUUAACUCAGAGUGAUCGAUCACGACUUAAGUCGGGAUGAAUGGAAUACCAACACCAUGUAAUUGCAAAGACUCAAUUAAAGUUGUUGUUGUCCAUAUGAACUCAUUCAUCCCUAAUUUAACCUAAAUUAACUAAGGUUAUAUCUUAACAUUAAGUUAAUGAGAACUCAUUUCAACUCAAGUGAUCAAUUGAUGACUCAGGUUGUGAUAAACGUAAUACCAACACCAUGCAACUACAAUGACUCAAUUGAAGUUGUAGUUGGCCCUAUGAGCUCAUUCAUCCCUAGUUACCCCUAAAUCAAUUUAGGUACUAUAUUAACAUUAAGUUAAUGAGAACAUAUUUUAACUCAGAGUGAUCGAUCGAUGACUCAGGUCAGGAUAAAUGCAAUACCAAUACCAUUCAAUUGAAAUGAUUCAAUUGAAGCUGUAGUUGACCUUAUGAGCUCACUAAUCCCUAGUUCCACCUAAAUAAAUUUAGGUACUAUCUUAACAUUAAGUUAAUGAGAACUCAUUUCAACUCAGAGUGAUCGAUCGGCGGCUCAAGUCGGGAUGAACGCAAUACUAACACCAUGCAAUUGUAAAGACUCAAUUGAAGUUAUAGUUGACCCUAUGAACUUAUUCAUCCAUAGUUACACCUAAAUUAAUUUAGGUACUAUAUUAACAUGAGUUAAUAAGAACUCAUUUCAACUCAAAGUGAUCGAUCGAUGACUCGGGUCAGGAUAAACGCAAGACCAACACCUUGCAAUUGUAAAGACUCGAUAAAGUUGUUUUUGACCCUAUGAACUUAUUCAUCCCUAGUUCCACCUAAAUAAAUUAAGGUUCUAUCUUAACAUUAAGUUAAUGAGAACUCAUUUCAACUCAGAGUGACCGAUCUUGGGUCGAGAUAAAUGCAAUACCAACAUCAUCCAAAUGCAACAACUCAAUUAAAGUUUAGUAGACCCUAUGAGCUCGUUCAUCCUUAGUUCCACCUAAAUUAAUUUAGGAACUAUCUUAGUAUUAAGUUAAUGAGAACUCAUUUUAACUUAGAGUGGUCGAUCGACGACUUGGAUCGGGAUGAACGUAAUACCAACACUAUGCUAUUGCAAAGACUCAAUUGAAGUUGUAGUUGACCCUAUGAACUCAUUCAUCCCUAGUUCCACCUAAAUCAAUUUAGGUACUAUCUUAACAUUAAGUUAAUGAGAACUCAUUUAUCCCUAGUUCCACCUAAAUCAAUUUAGGUACUAGCUUAACAUUAAGUUAAUGAGAAUUGUUUUUUAACUAAAAGUGAUCGAUCGAUGACUCGGGUCAAGAUGAAUGCAAUACCAACACCAUGCAAUUGUAAAGACUCAAUUGAAGUUGUAGUUGACCCUAUGAACUCAUUCACCCCUAGUUCCAUCUAAAUCAAUUUAGGUACUAUCUUAACAUUCAGUUAAUGAGAACUCAUUCAUCCCUAUUUUUGACUAAAUCAAUUUAGGUACUAGCUUAACAUUAAGUUAAUGAGAAUCUUUUCAACUCAAAGUGAUCGAUCUACGAAUCGAAUUGGUAUGAAUACAAUACCAACACCAUGCAGUUGCAAACACUCAAUUAAAUUUAUAGUUGACCCUAUGAACUCAUUCAUUCAUCUCUAGUUUUACCUAAAUCAAUUGCAAUGAAAUAUGUUGCAACAAAUGACUGAGCUGUUGGAAAUUUUCAAUUAGAUAUUCAUAUUUGUUGCAAUAGAUGCCAUAUAUGAUUUAAUUAUCAAAUAGACAUUUCCAUCUAUUAUGACAGAUGACUGAGUUGUUAGAAAUUUUUAAAUAGAUAUUGAUAUCUAUUGUAACAGAUAACAUAUCUAAUUUAAUUAUCAAAUGUAUAUUUGCAUCUAUUGUCACAGAUGACUGAGCUAUUGGGAUUUUUAAACAAAUAUUGAUACCUGUUGUAACAGAUAACUGAGCUAUUGGGAUUUUUAAACAGAUAUUGCUAUCUGUUGCAACAAACGGCAUAUCUGUUUGAAUUUUUUUUAAUUUUAAAGCAAGCUUCUAUCCGAGUAGAUAAAGUAGUACUACUAAGGCCGUAAACAAUGUUUCUUGGAUAACUCAAAAAUGAGUUUAUUGAGUAAUCUUAUCUUGUAUUUUCAAUGUCACUAGUCUUCCUCGUGCCCCUUAAAUUAUUAAUGAAUAUUAAUUAAUGAAUAUUGAAACCCACGUCUAUGUACACAAUAUAUCUAGAAUUAUCUUAAUCCUUCAACUUCAGCCAUAAAUUUAUUUUAUUCAUCUCUGGUAUUUUUCUUUCUCUAAUCUUUAGGGUUAUCACAACCUUUUUUCUCUCUUUUCUCUUCUAUUUCUUAUAAAAAUCUUUUUGGAUCUAAAUCGAUCCAUAUCUUUCCUCGACUGAAAUUAUUAUUUUGAUCCCAUUAUGACAUUAAGGUAUAGUUCACUAUUUCUUUUUCAUUCUCAUCUUUUUCUUUACAAGUUAUUUACAUCUGUCUUUUAAUUUAUUACCAUUAACCCAUAUCAUAUUUAUUUAGAAAAAUUGACGAAAUUUUUAAGUGUUUGAAUAAAUGAAUCGAGAAUUUUUAUUACAAUAUGCAAAAAAAGUCAUCUGUUAGGAGAAUUUUAAAAGUCUUGUUGGCAGUAUCAUUUUUGUUGUAUCUAUUUUGUUUGUUUCUUUGUUGUUGAUUCUGUUAUUGAUGUAAUUGGUGGGGUUUGCAUUGUUGGAACUUAUGGUGUGUUAUUGAUAGUGUUGGAAAAAGGGAUGUUUCUUCUUUGUUGUUGAUGGUGUAGGUAUUUAUGGUUGUGGAAUAAUAUCUUCUGGUAUAAUCAUAUCUCGGGUCAUUCCUACUUUUACAACUUGUAUAGGUUAUUUAACUUCAUCAUACAAUAUCUCUGCUGGUGUCGUGUAAAAUUUUAUAAAAAAUAGGUUACCUUUGGUUAUUCUUUUAAAAAUGUUAAAUGAAUCAUAUAUUUAUGGUAUAUUGGAUAUUUUAUUUCCGUCUUGGGUAUAUAUGGUACUACGUAGUCCAUAUUCGUAACAGGUUUUAACUAGACUUGGUUUGGUUUUGGGCAAAGCAAUUAGCUUAUUGUAUCCGGUUAGCUUCUAGGUUAUGUAAUUCGUAUGUGGUUCUUGGAUGUUUAUAGCUCUAGGGUUGGUAUUUAAGAAGGUUUGUAUUUUGUAAAUAUUUUCUAUGUAUGUUCGGGCUGUAUAGUUUUAGGUCUUUUUAUCUUUGUUUAAACUAUCUCGGUAUGUGGUAAUUUGUGGGGGUAUGAACAUAGGAUCUUUUGGUAUAUUUGGAAUAAAUAAUUUAUCAAAUAGCCUGUUUAGGUUCAUAUUUGUGUUUUUCCUAACUCCUUUGCUUGUACCUGUAGAAGUAGAUUGAUAAACGUUAUGGGUUUCUAGAACAGUGAAGAGACCGAACCCUAAUGCAAGGUUGCCUACGUAUCUCAUCAAGAAAAGAAUCAGGUCAAAACGUAGUUCAAACCUAUACGCUAUAGGCGAUGUUGCUAAGGUACAUUCUUAAUUAAUUCACUAUGUAAAACGAAGAUUAGACUACACCUUCUCACUAAAGUAUAAUCAAUUUAAAGCAAACAGUACAAACACAAUAAUUGUUCAAAUAUGUACAAAGAAUAUAAUGACAUGUCACUUGGGUCGUGAACCAUUCGGACAUAAAGUUGACUAACAAUGCAUGCACCUAAAAGGUAUUAUUUUAGCUCUAUCCUAUGUUCGACGAAGAGUGGAUUUACUAGACCUGUGGUUCUCGAGCGGACUACUCGAGUGAGAAGGUUACGCGGGCAUACAGAAAAAGAUCCGGACACCCUGUGCAUACUCCAACUCUCCUAAAGUUUAGAAUUUUGAAAGAAAUUUGCGGGUGCGUAAAACACACCUCACUUAAUUGUGUCAGCUUUUCCCAAAUGGAAGAAAUAUGAACGAGAUGACAGUUUAUAUAAAGCAAUAAACAAAUAAAUAAACUAUACAAAACAAAUAGCAAUUUGUACACACAAACAUGAUAAAUCAAGACAAUUAGAAAGACAUAAAUAAUAAUACAGAAAAAUAUAAAUAUUUUCCUAAAUUUGUAAUGGUUAGAACCUUGCAUCCCCCAGCAGAGUCGUCAUUCUGUCAUACCCGAUUUUUACCUAAGUAAAACAAGCAUGACUUAUGGACUCUAAAAAAAGAGUUAAUUAUGUACAGAGUCGCCACCUAGUUUUUAAGAAAAAUAAGAAAACCUAUUUAUUUAUUAGCAUGUAUGGCUUGUAUUUUAAUCUAUGAACCUGUUUAGAUUCUAAGUAAGGGUUCAAAUUAUUCCGAAGGGAAGGUAUUAGGCACCCUUCAGAAUCCAUACAUGUGGUUUCUGGCCAGACUUAGGUUUAUUAAAAGAUAAAAAAAAAAACUAUGUGUAUAUACAAAUACAAAAAGUGUAUUAAAAUGAUGUAAAUAAUUUAUGUAUAAAAGAUGCACAAAUUAUCUAUAUUAUAGUAAACUAUGUAUAAAAGUAUAUGAAAAUAUGUAAAUAAAAAAAAAUAUAAGAAUGUAUAUGAAAAGAAAAAUAAAGAUUGAAUAAAAGAAAAUUUAUUUAAAGAAAAGAUUAUGUAAUAUUUUUAGUGUAUAAAUUGAGAAUUAUUUGAUUAGAUGUCUAAAUUAAUUUAAUAUAAAUAUUGGAGGCCUAAAUUUGCCUACACAUGUGUCUGGCGAAAUGUCUAUUUUUUUAAAAAAAAUAAAUAGCCUGGAAAAUAAAAUCCGUCCUUUGUAAUGGGGUGGCCUCAAAUAUCCGACGAAAAGAUAAUAUCAUUGGCCCAAAAAAAUAUUUUAGCACAGAUAAAAUAAUACCAAUAUAUCAGAGAAAAAAUAAAAUCACUAAGAAAAUUAAACAACAUAAUAUUACUUUCAGUGGUGGUAGUAGGCUACCGGAUCUGGAGUGUGUUUGCCAGGGAGGUCGCCAGAUCUGGUUUGACAAUGGUGGCUGAAUCUGGUGGCUAGCGGGAUCUGGAGAUUAGUGGAGGGAGUAAUUGUUGUUUAUGAAAAUGUAAAAAAAAAAAAAAUGAAGGAGGCUUGUUGUUGCUGCUUGUUCUUUGUUUUAUAGGAAAAUGAAAGGGAAAUAUUGUGGGGUGGAUGACAGUAAAGAGAAAAGAAAGAGAGAGUGAAUUAAGAGAGAGAAAGUGAGAUAGGAGAGAAUCUUUUCUUUUUUCUUUGUGUUGAACGUGUAGUGUUUAAAAGGGAAAGAAAAAUGAUGAAAAGUGUGAUCCAUCCCAUAAAUGCUUGGCCAAUGUUUCAAAUUUUGGCAAGUUUUUUUCAACCUUUUGGCAGAAGAAAAUCUGUACAAAU
rnacentral:lncRNA from 1 species